rnacentral:lncRNA from 1 species
ACCCACCCUAACAGACAGCACGUGUGGGCCCAAGGCCUGGCCAGAGUGACGCGAACUUGGUUUCCUCAGGAUGGACGACAGUGAGGCCUGCAGCAACCAGAGGGGCAGUGGAACGACAAAAACAUCCUCUGCUCCCCCUCACGUACCUGCCCCCCUCAGCCUUGUCCCUUUCCACGCUCCGAUGCUUGUUUUCAGGAAGACCAGGCUUCCUGCGUGAUGGAGCGGUGGAUGAGAGGAGGAAGAGGGGGAUGGGACAGAGAGGAAAAGACAGACACAGAGAGAGAUGGAUAGGGAUGAGGUGACGGUCCUGUGCACGUAGUGAUUUGGGGGAGUUUUUUGCGUUGGUUGCUUCCCUGACAGCUACAGGCAGCUGUGAGGGAGUCUGAGAAAAGGAAAGAUUACAGUACAAAUCUUCUGCGUAGAUGAAAAACUUGAAACAACUGAGAAGUCUUGUGUCAGGAAGGCAGGCAGGGAGUGGGCUAAUGUGUUACUGAACUUAAUGUGAGCAUUUUGUAAGCCUGUAUAGAAAUCAAGUUGGAACUUGGACCUGGAGUUUUGUUCUUUCACAUGUACAAACCUUCCUGUUCUUCUGUUUGUGUUGGGAAAUACUGAGCAAUGGGACAAUCAGCACAGAACACGGACACCAGCAGAGAGAGACAGAGAAGAGGCGAGGCACCCUGUCCAUCCAUGCAUGCAUCACUGAGGAAAGUGGUCACUCCUCCGUUUUUCCUGGGCUCAGUUACUGCCUCGUCUAUUUUCAUCUGACCAGCUGCAGCGUGGGCAUGCCUGUGACGCUCUCAAAUUCAGCCAAGAUACCCCUUACAACAACCACUAUAAGCUCCCCCCUCUCCCCCCUCAGCCCCUACCACCACCCUUCACUCCUGC